UACAGAGGCCCCAAGCGUUACUGAGAAUCACUGGGUUUAAAGGGUGCGUAGGUGGUCCGUUAAGUUCGUUGUGAAAUCCCUGGGCUCAACCCAGGAAAUGCUUCGAAUACUGGCGGACUUGAGGCUAGUAGAGGUCACUGGAACUGACGGUGGAGCGGUGAAAUGCGUAGAUAUCGUCAGGAACGCCGAUGGUGAAGACAGGUGACUGGGCUAGUUCUGACACUGAGGCACGAAAGCGUGGGGAGCGAAUGGG
rnacentral:rRNA from 1 species